CCUAACUCUAUUAUAUCAGAAAAAUAAUAAUUUUUAAUAUUUUUAUUAUUUUAAGAAAAUUUUUAAUAUAAAUUAUAAAAAAUAAAUAAAUUGUGAUUGAACUCUGAUGAAAGGGAGUUAAAUGUAUUUACUUAAAAUUUUGAGAGUAUAAAAUAUAUGUUUUAACAGUCAAGAGAAAAAAAAUAAAAAAGGGUAUUUAUGGAGAGAUUUUUUUAUAUUUUAGUCUUUUUUUUUUUUAAUCGAGAGUCGUUAUUUUUAACUAUUUUGAUUUUUUAUAUUUAUUAAAAAAAUUCCAAAUUUAAUUCAUUAGUCGUGAACUAUUAAUUAGUCUGAUUUUAUCUGUUAAAAAAUAAUUAAAAUUAUUAAAUUUUGCAAAAUAUUAUUUAAUUUUGUAAAAUUUCUAAUGUUUUAACUAAUAUUAGUUAAACGCUAUUCAAAAUUACGAAAAUGUUACAUCACGUGCAGUUAGAAAAUAUGAUGAAAAAAUAAUAUAUUUAUUUUCGUUGUAAUAUCAUAUUGUCCUACCGAAAUACUGAUAAGCAUAUUUUUAUAUACUUUCGUAGUAAUGCUAUU
rnacentral:lncRNA from 1 species